AUCGUGAGAUCUUUCAAAUGCUUAAGUUAAAAAAAGGUAAUUAUUGGAACGUAUUGAAAACACUAGAUAUCUAUACUAACUAUACUAUACUAUACUACUCAUGUAAAAAUUCCUUAUGAAAAUUUGGACCGAAGUAGUGGCAGAUGAUAUAUCGAGUUACCCCACUUUACUGACCUCAUCCUUCUGGUGAACGUUGCAUUUUAUUUGCGCGCUUCGUCGCAACUUCGUUAUUUCCUCAGCGUUCCAUCGCCUGGCUAGUAGUAAUAACACCUGCGAUAGCGACGCCCGCCUUGCUGUGCAACACUUUGUAAGGGUCGUAUUCAGCGUAAUUACUGAGGUCAUCGAUAUUGAUCAAUAUCUCGGACCUGGAGCUGAUCUUGUUGGACACUAGAGCUGGCCAGAGGUUGAAUCCGUCGAUGUGCCCAAGAUAGCAACGUGGGAAGCCAAUCGGCGACAAACAUCAUCUGAUUCGAGACCCUUCGCGACUUCUUGAUCAAGGGACUCCAAAUAGCCGCCACUCCUCUCACUCCGCCUUCCCAAGGGCUAUCCUUUAUCUGGAAGA